rnacentral:rRNA from 1 species
UACGUAGGGGGGCAAGCGUUUGUCCGGAUUUAUUGGGGCGUAAAGAGCGUGUAGGCGGCCAAGCAGGUCCGCUGUGAAAACUCGAGGCUCACCUCGAGACGUCGGUGGGAAACCGUUUGGCUAGAGUCCGGAAGAGGAGAGUGGAAUUCCCGGUGUAGCGGUGAAUGCGCAGAUAUCGGGGAGGAACAUCAGUGGCGGAAAGCGACUUCCUGGGACCAGGUACCGACGUUCAGGCACGAAAGCGUGGGGGAGCAAACAGGG